rnacentral:rRNA from 1 species
UGGCCGCGUAGGUUCGUCGGGAAAUCCAUCCGCCCAACGGAUGGGCGUCCGGCGAAAACCACGUGGCUUGGGACCGGAAGGCUCGAGGGGUACGUCCGGGGUAGGAGUGAAAUCCCGUAAUCCUGGACGGACCGCCGAUGGCGAAAGCACCUCGAGAAGACGGAUCCGACAGUGAGGGACGAAAGCUGGGGUCUCGAACCGGAUUAGAUACCCGGGUAGUCCCAGCCGUAAACAAUGCCAAUUAGGUGUGGCACCGACUACGAGUCGGUGCUGUGCCGUAGGGAAGCCGAUAAAUUGGCCGCCUGGGAA